GACGAACGCUGCCGGCGUGCUUAACACAUGCAAGUCGAAGGGAGUGGCGAACGGGUGAGUAACACGUGCGUAACCUGCCCUUUUCUUUGGGAUAAGACUGGGAAACUGGGUCUAAUACUGGAUGGAUUGGGAUGGGCUGGCGGCUUAUCAGCUUGUUGGUGGGGUGAUGGCUUACCAAGGCUUUGACGGGUAGACGGCCUGAGCGGGUGGUCGGUCACACUGGGACUGAGAUACGGCCCAGACUGCUACGGGGGGCAGCAGUGGGGGAUAUGGCACAAUGGACGAUAGGCCGAUGCAGCGACGUCGUGUGGGGGAUGAAGGCCUUCGGGUUGUAAACUCCUUUCGCCCGCGAAAUGGUAUUCGGUAAAGAAGCGCCGGCUAACUACGUGCCAGCAGCCGCGGUAAUAC
rnacentral:rRNA from 1 species